UUAAGGGAGACCUACCCAACUUAUUGAUUCGAUUGCUAUUAUUAAUAGUAGUCGAGGUAAUAUUGAUAAGAUGGUCAACCGAAGGUCGAAUCGCUGACUGGAUAGAUAUACAGCUUUCAAACUAUAAAUUUGUUCGGAAUUGGGCUAUUAGCUCAGGUGGUUAGAGCGCACCCCUGAUAAGGGUGAGGUCCCUGGUUCGAGUCCAGGAUGGCCCACCUGUGAAAAGUUAGGAGUUAGGAGUUAAGAGUGAGGAAUAGAAACCGUAGCUUAUUGCUUUUAACGUAAUAUAACUUUUUGUCGUGGGGGUUUAGCUCAGUUGGUAGAGCGCCUGCUUUGCAAGCAGGAUGUCAGCGGUUCGAGUCCGCUAACCUCCACUGAAAGAAAAAGAAAUUGAAAUGAUUUAGCACCUAAACUAGGAACAAUUAUUAGUUAAUAGUUUAGAAUGCUGAAAUGAUUUUCAGCCAGAACCAUGAAAACUGCAUAGUGACGUAAUGUAAUGUAGGUAGCAAUCAAAAACUACUGAGCAAUUUAUCGGUUGGAGACAACUGAGCAAUUGAGCAAGAGAAUUUGAUUGAUGACGUACACUCACAGACAAAAAAAUUGAUUUGAUGAAUU
rnacentral:tRNA from 1 species